rnacentral:lncRNA from 1 species
AGAGGAAGCAGCGGCCCUCAGCUAGCCCAGAGGUGUCAGCUUCUCUUCUCACCAAAGCAGCUGCACCGCACCUGACAUCAGGCGCUGCCAAGGGCCCGGGCUUCCUGUGAGCUAGACUCCCAGCCGCCUUUCUCACUAAAGAGAAGAGUGGGCUUGCCUCUCCUCAGCUCAUGACCCACUCAAAGGCAGCCAGCCUGAGCUCCUGAUGCUGGCAACAUUUGGAUCAUCCUAAGCGUUUGCUAAGUGCCAUCAACACACUGACUUAAGUGGUAGAGGAUUGAGAGCCUGGUGUGGGCUGUGGGGAUGGAGGAGGAGGCGAGCAGGAGGAGAAAGCAGAUGGAGAGGUGUGAGAAGACGAGACCGAAUGGAAACCAGGCACCGAGACUAGACUCUGGUUUCUCCAGCCCUUACUGCACUGUCUGCUCCGUGGGUCUAACCGCUCAUCUAAUGACAUCUUCAGCUCUGUCCCCGGCUCUACACUUCUCUGGAACCAACCCACACAAUUAAGCCAUGAUUUUCUACCAUUGCUCAUGGGACAGAAUCCAGAAGGCUUUGUCUAGCCAGGGCUGGCUUUCCAUGACUGCGCCUUCCAUCCAGACCAGCUUUAUUUUCCAUUGCUUCACGGNNGGGGGUGGGGGAGGGGUGUAUCGACUGUACCCAGGCUGGCUUGUCCUUCCCACCACUCCCUUCUGCGCAGCUGUACACAGUUAUUUAGCAAAAGCGCACCCUCUGGUUCCUGCCUUGUAUCAAUCCUGAGCAACAAUGAAGCUACCUGAAUUCUACAGACGAGAACUCAAGUCUCAGAAGACACGGGUUCCUCCUCAGCUGGAAGAAUCCUGGGCCAGAGAGCUCUAGUCUCCGCUCAGGACCUGUUUAUUCCACGGGUUAAGGUCAUCCCAGUCUCCCUCACUGAAGUGAAAGCACACGGGAACAUGGGCCAUCCUCACUUCCUAUAUUUGGCAAACAAUGAGCACAUUAGUGUCUUAAUCUAUGCAGGCUGCUAAGACAGUACGCCGUGGACUCUAAGCAACAGAAAUGUAUUGCCCAGAGGAGGCUGGGAAAUUCCAGAUCAGAAUACCCACAGGUUAUGUCUCCUGAAGGCCCAUCAUUUGACCUACAGAAAUCCAUCCUCUUUCUUGUCCUCAUGGCAGAAGACUGAGGGAGCUCUCUGGGAGUUUCUUAUGAGAGCAUUGACCCAUGAAAGUUUCACUCUAUUAUUAUCUAUUAUAAGACCACUCAGAGGCCUGCCUCCUGAUGCUACCAUAUUUGGAGUCAGACUCAACACUGGAAUUCUGAGGCACACAGUCUACUACAGAUGGGUUAUAACUACUCUACAUUUAAAAAAAAAAAGCAGCACUAGG